rnacentral:rRNA from 1 species
UACGGAGGGGGCUAGCGUUGUUCGGAAUUACUGGGCGUAAAGCGCGCGUAGGCGGACCUGCAAGUCGGGGGUGAAAGCCCGAGGCUCAACCUCGGAACUGCCUUCGAUACUGCGGGUCUCGGAGUCCGGGAGAGGUGAGUGGAAUUCCUAGUGUAGAGGUGAAAUUCGUAGAUAUUAGGAAGAACACCAGUGGCGAAGGCGGCUCCAC